rnacentral:rRNA from 1 species
AUUGAACGCUGGCGGCAUGCCUUACACAUGCAAGUCGAACGGUAACAGGUCUUCGGAUGCUGACGAGUGGCGAACGGGUGAGUAAUACAUCGGAACGUGCCUAGUAGUGGGGGAUAACUACUCGAAAGAGUGGCUAAUACCGCAUGAGAUCUACGGAUGAAAGCAGGGGAUCGCAAGACCUUGUGCUACUAGAGCGGCCGAUGGCAGAUUAGGUAGUUGGUGGGAUAAAAGCUUACCAAGCCGACGAUCUGUAGCUGGUCUGAGGGGACGAUCAGCCAAACUGGGACGGAGACACGGCCCAGACUCCUACGGGAGGCAGCAGUGGGGAAUUUUGGACAAUGGGCGCAAGCCUGAUCCAGCAAUGCCGCGUGCAGGAUGAAGGCCUUCGGGUUGUAAACUGCUUUUGUACGGAACGAAAAGCCCUGGGUUAAUACCCUGGGGUCAUGACGGUACCGUAAGAAUAAGCACCGGCUAACUACGUGCCAGCCGCCGCGGUAA